AUUUCAGGCUAUUUUUUACAGUCUCUGUUCAGAACCCUUUCUAUUUAAAAACAUCAAAGAACAUUCCGGCGCUCUUUACCGGAGAAACGUUUUUUAUGGUGGAGAGGGAGGGACAUCGCAUCCAUUCGCAAAUAAAUGCAACAACUGUUAGCGAUUGUCUUUUGACAGUCGUGUUGACAACCGGAUUGAGGCCCCCUAAAUCUUGAUUUGGCCUUGAACGCUACGCCAUUUUCGAACCCUGCACACGUAGCGUGCUUUUUAACCGGAGAGGCCCGCGGACGCGAUCCUAAUCGGAGCCCUCCAGCGAGACGCGUUUGGCUUGGCCCGGGGACCGCACCGUUAGCAUAGCCCGAAGCCUGCCAGCGAAGCUGCAACCCCAGGUGUUUGGCAGCGCCAGGAAUCCAAAGCCUGAUUUUCACUUCCAAAGGUAUGGGACGAGCUGAGCAUCACGUUGCCCGGGAAACCUCAGAUCUGCGAUUCCACAGACCCAGGAAGUGGUUUAGCCUGCUAUUGUUUCCACUGGCUCGGUGUGUUAUUGUUUACGCCCCGAACUUAACGUUACGGCUCGCUGGAAUUCUGCAGGAAAGUCCCAGACCGAAAGCCAUUUUAUGUGUAUAAACAACCACACGCCGGGGAAUCACCUCUUUCCCAGGUACGUUUACUUCUUUUACGUCUGCUCUCCCAUCAUUACGCUGCCCAGACGUAGCCUAACUAUAUUAAUCGAACGGGAAAGGCAGCUCAUGCAGAACACGUGUAGCUUGGCUCACGUCGUUCCACUGGAACGCGAUUUCUUCACAAUAAUGAACCAUAAUAAACAUAUGGUAAACUUAACCUUUAAAAAAAAAAAAAAAAAAUAUCCAGUACAACCUUCCUGUACAUUCUGUGAGCUGGGCCUCUCUGAUGCAUCAAAGCUUUUCUCAGGACCUGCAAUCUAAGUGGAUUCCUAUUGACGUCUCCCCCAUUCAUCCACCGCUGCCGGUCCCUGG